UACGUAGGGUGCGAGCGUUAAUCGGAAUUACUGGGCGUAAAGCGUGCGCAGGCGGUUCGUUGUGUCGGCGGUGAAAGCCCCGGGCUCAACCUGGGAAUGGCCGUUGAAACUGGCGAACUGGAGUGUGGCAGAGGGGGGUGGAAUUCCGCGUGUAGCAGUGAAAUGCGUAGAGAUGCGGAGGAACACCGAUGGCGAAGGCAGCCCCCUGGGCUGACACUGACGCUCAGGCACGAGAGCGUGGGGAGCAAACAGG
rnacentral:rRNA from 1 species